UGGACUUGUAUUUGCUUUUGUUUAAUUUGUGGACAAAGACUUAACAGACAAGUGCGAAAGUAAAUCCUCUUUUGCAAACCACAACUCAUUCAGUAUGAGUUUUGAUACAGAUAAGAAGGGACAUG
ensembl:snoRNA